UCGGGAAUUUUGGGCAAUGGGCGAAAGCCUGACCCAGCAACGCCGCGUGAAGGAUGAAGUAUUUCGGUAUGUAAACUUCGAAAGAAUAGGAAGAAUAAAUGACGGUACUAUUUAUAAGGUCCGGCUAACUACGUGCCAGCAGCCGCGGUAAUACGUAGGGACCAAGCGUUGUUCGGAUUUACUGGGCGUAAAGGGCGCGUAGGCGGCAAUUCAAGUCAUCUGUGAAAUCUCCGGGCUUAACUCGGAACGGUCAGAUGAUACUGUCGCGCUAGAGUGCAGAAGGGGCAAUCGGAAUUCUUGGUGUAGCGGUGAAAUGCGUAGAUAUCAGGAGGAACACCCGUGGCGAAGGCGGAUCUCUGGACCGGUUCUGACGCUGAGGUGCGAAAGCGUGGGGAGCAAACAGGAUUAGAUACCCUCGUAGUCCCUGAGCGGGC
rnacentral:rRNA from 1 species